rnacentral:lncRNA from 10 species
CCCAAAGCUGAAGAACUCGAGGUCUGAUGUUCAAGGGCAGGAAGUAUCCAGCACGGGAGAAAGAUGUAGCCUGGGAGGCUAAGCCAGUCUAGCCUUUUCACAUUCUUCUGCCUGCUUUUUAAUCUGGCCACUGGCCGAGCUGGCAGCUGAUUAGAUUGUGCCCAUCCAGAUUAAGGGUGGGUCUGCCUUUCCCAGUCCACUGACUCAAAUGUGGCAACACCCUCA